UCACCCCAAAGCUACUGUUCAUCACCAUUAUCAGAAAGCAGUGAGAGGAUUUGGCAUGAAUUUUGUCCAUUAACAGACUAACACUACUAAUUUUACCUAGCAGUCAUCCUAAAGGUGGGAAUUUCUAGUUAACACCUUUUAGUAGCUCCCUGUUACCAACCAGAUGAAAUUUAAACUCCUUAUCUCGGCAUUCCAGGCUCUUUAGAAACGGAUCCAACCUAACUCUCUAGCUGUUAAUUUGGCUCUACAUUAGCUACUGCUUUCGCCUAAAUGCUCUCUUACUCUUCUGUGUCUGUCAAGGCUUAUCAUGUUGAUAGAAAGUUAGACUGCAUGGAUUGAAAUCUUUAUUUUACUGUUAACUAGCUCUGUCAUGUGGGAAAAUUACUUAGCCUAAGUGGUAAUUGCCUCAUCUGUAAGAAAGAAAUGAUAAUAGUAUCUACUUUGUAGAUUUUUUUGUAUGGAGACAACAAAUAAAAAUAUUAUAAUAUUGCAUAUACCAUAUGAAUGUUAAAUAUAAUAUUAUGUUACAAAUAUUAAAUUUUUUAGGACUUGGUAAUAUUGUUAAGCCUUUAACUAUUGCUCAAGUUUCACCUACAUUUCAGAGUCCAAGUAAACACUACUAGAUAAUGUGCUGAUUAACAACAUGGGUUGGCCUCCUAGGUCUACGACUUAAGCUAGCUAUGUAAUCUUGUGCAAGUUUGUUACCACUGUAAAUGGUGAUAACAUUAUGAUUAUGGAAACAGGAUGGAUUAUGAAAACUAAAUAAAGUACUUGUGAGACAUUGAGCAUAGUGCUUGACACAUAGUAAACAUGUGAUCUUAUUAUUUUAUCUUAUAAAUGAGAUUAUUAUUAUCAAGUUUUCUUAGGAGACUGUGGCUUAUAUGGUUUGCAACCUGUGAACUCUGGGUUUAUCAUUCUAAAACUAUGUUGUCUUUUCAACUUUUUGUACUGUUGAUGUCAUGGUGUUUUUUAAAACUCUGUAACAUUAUUUACUUUUCAUAUGUUAAAAUAUUGUCUCCCUAACUUGUCCUCCCCAUAGGGGCAGGACUAAUUUUCAUAUUUUAUUUAUUUCUUCCAAAAUGCCCAACACAGUGCAGAUUUGGUUAAUGAACAUGGUAAAUUUGGAGUGCAGGUUAGAUUUCUAGUGUUAAAUAAAAUCUAUGGAGGUCGUUGAUUUAGACUGAAC
rnacentral:lncRNA from 13 species